rnacentral:rRNA from 1 species
UACGAAGGGGGCUAGCGUUGCUCGGAAUUACUGGGCGUAAAGGACGCGUAGGCGGAUAGUUUAGUCAGAGGUGAGAGCCCAGGGCUCAACCUUGGAAUUGCCUUUGAUACUGGCUAUCUUGAGUUCGGGAGAGGUGAGUGGAAUGCCGAGUGUAGAGGUGAAAUUCGUAGAUAUUCGGCGGAACACCAGUGGCGAAGGCGACUCACUGGCCCGAUACUGACGCUGAGGCGCGAAAGCGUGGGGAGCAAACAGG